AAGAAAGAAAGAAAGAAAGAAAGAAAGAAAGAAAGAAAGAAAGAGGAAAAAAGGAACAGGGAUGCGGUGUGGACUCUGUAUUAGCUGCUUAAUUUUGAUUAACCCUAAAAUGGCUCUACAAAAGAAAAUCUAUUAAUGAAAACGUUAAUAUAAUAUGGCAACUCUUAAAAUCAGUUUUUCCGUCUCAGUUCCCCGGUCUGUUGUUGUUUUUUUACAGUCUUUUCUAAACUAAUUCUGUAGUCUCUGUUCUCUGUUCUCUGUGGCCUCUGAAGUUUGGGCCUGGUUAGCUUAGGGGUCAGUUAAUCAUUAGACAGAAACUUCCCUGAAAGCCUUGAGCCAAUGUCUGCUACUCUCACCAGGGGCUCUGAGUGUACAGUGAGGCACACCUGCAGGGCUCCGGCAGUUUGCACCUCUGCCUUAACCUUGACUUCCUGUUUGCAGAAGUCCUCAAAGUCACCUCCAGACAAAGAAGGAAAGGCGAACUCCAGAAAAAGGAACGGACAGUGACUGCCACCAGAGGCAGGUCAGCCUCAGGAGCGCCAGCAGCAGUGAAUACAACAAGGAAUGUAAAAGCACUGAAAACUGAAAAUCGCAAUACAAAUAAAUCGUUUUAUUGUGUUUCGAAUAAAAAUCACAAUACUAA